UCUUUUUCUCUGCAGCGCCAAAGUUUUUGGUUUUCUACUGACCGCCGCUUGGCACUGCCCCUUUUCUUCACGUCUUCUAGUUUGCUCGACGCUCUUCAGCUCAACUCCUCCCACCGACCGCUUCAUCUUUAGAUUUUUCAUAUCUU
ensembl:ncRNA F45E6.7 ncRNA